CCUAGAGUGCCUAACCUGGCCUGUGUGCUUGCAAGCUUCUGCUCAUUCUUCAAUACCCAGCAGAGACUUCCUCCUCCAUGCAGCCUUCCAAGACCCACCUGAGUACAGGCCUUUCCAUCUAUCCGGAGUGACCUACCAGAGACAGGACAGUGUGACCAGCAAGCUUCUGAUCACUCUUCAACACCCAGCAAGCAGUCUUAUCCUCCAUGCAGCCUUCUAAGACCUCUCUAAGCACAGGUAUCAGAUCCUCCUCUGGAUCACUCUGUCUUGUUACUGCAUUUAUCUCACUGGAUUUCAGUGAAGUGUGUAGACAACUAAUUUGUGCCUGCCUGAUCUGUGAGCUCUUCAUUCAAAGCAGUUGGCUCCUGAGUACAGGAUAAACCCCUAGAAUUGAAUAAAUUUGGUCUUACCUC
rnacentral:sRNA from 1 species